AGUGAACGCUGGCGGUAGGCCUAACACAUGCAAAUCGAACGGCAGCACAGUAAGAGCUUGCUCUUACGGGUGGCGAGUGGCGGACGGGUGAGGAAUACAUCGGAAUCUACUUUUUCGUGGGGGAUAACGUAGGGAAACUUACGCUAAUACCGCAUACGACCUACGGGUGAAAGCAGGGGAUCUUCGGAACUUGCGCGAUUGAAUGAGCCGAUGUCGGAUUAGCUAGUUGGCGGGGUAAAGGCCCACCAAGGCGACGAUCCGUAGCUGGUCUGAGAGGAUGAUCAGCCACACUGGAACUGAGACACGGUCCAGACUCCUACGGGAGGCAGCAGUGGGGAAUAUUGGACAAUGGGCGCAAGCCUGAUCCAGCCAUACCGCGUGGGUGAAGAAGGCCUUCGGGUUGUAAAGCCCUCUUGUUGGGAAAGAAAAGCAGCAGGUUAAUACCCCGCUGUUCUGACGGUACCCAAAGAAUAAGCACCGGCUAACUUCGUG
rnacentral:rRNA from 1 species